rnacentral:misc_RNA from 1 species
ACGAUUGACUCAUGUUGCCUCGGCGGGUCCUCCCGCCAGAGGAUACAUCAAAACUCCUGUUUUAACGGUGUUGUCUGAGCUACAAGCAACGAAUCAAAACUUUCAACAACGGAUCUCUUGGUUCUGGCAUCGAUGAAGAACGCAGCGAAAUGCGAUAAGUAGUGUGAAUUGCAGAAUUCAGUGAAUCAUCGAAUCUUUGAACGCACAUUGCGCCCCUUGGUAUCCCGAGGGGCAUGCCUGUUCGAGCGUCAUUUCACCACUCAAGCCUGGCUUGGUGUUGGGCGACGUCCCCCUUUAGGGACGCGCCUCGAAACGCUCGGCGGCGUGGCACCGGCUUUAAGCGUAGCAGAAUCUUUCGCUUUGAAAGUCGGGGCCCCGUCUGCCGGAAGACCUACUCACAAGGUUGACCUCGGAUCAGGUAGGGAUACCCGCUGAACUUA